rnacentral:rRNA from 1 species
GGAACGAACGCUGGCGGCAUGCCUAAUACAUGCAAGUCGAACGAACUCUUCGGAGUUAGUGGCGCACGGGUGCGUAACGCGUGGGAAUCUGCCCCUUGGUUCGGAAUAACAGUUGGAAACGACUGCUAAUACCGGAUGAUGACGAAAGUCCAAAGAUUUAUCGCCAAGGGAUGAGCCCGCGUAGGAUUAGCUAGUUGGUGAGGUAAAGGCUCACCAAGGCAACGAUCCUUAGCUGGUCUGAGAGGAUGAUCAGCCACACUGGGACUGAGACACGGCCCAGACUCCUACGGGAGGCAGCAGUAGGGAAUAUUGGACAAUGGGCGAAAGCCUGAUCCAGCAAUGCCGCGUGAGUGAUGAAGGCCUUAGGGUUGUAAAGCUCUUUUACCCGAGAUGAUAAUGACAGUAUCGGGAGAAUAAGCCCCGGACUAACCUCCGUGCCAGCAGCCGC